AGGGAUGGUGAUACCACCCUGAACACACCCAAACUAGUCUGAUCUCGGAAGCUAAGCAGGGUAGGGCCUGGUUAGUACUUGGAUGGGAAAACAGUUGUUUCUCUUUC
rfam:Cricetulus griseus cell line CHO-K1, whole genome shotgun sequence.